UACAGAGGUCCCAAGCGUUGUUCGGAUUCACUGGGCGUAAAGGGUGCGCAGGUGGGUUGGCAAGUUCGAUGUGAAAGCCCCGGGCUUAACCCGGGAAUGGCAUUGGAAACUGCUGAUCUGGAGGAUCGGAGGGGGGACUGGAAUUCUUGGUGUAGCAGUGAAAUGCGUAGAUAUCAAGAGGAACACCAGUGGCGAAGGCGAGUCCCUGGACGAUACCUGACACUGAGGCACGAAAGCCAAGGGAGCAAACGGG
rnacentral:rRNA from 1 species